rnacentral:rRNA from 1 species
AUGUGUCACUUACAGCUCAUGGUGGCACACGAGAUCAUCGCGCGGCUGGAUGCGGCCCAAGACAUGCACCUGCUCACCGCCGGCGAGAGUUGGCUGCGACGGAAGCUGAAAGCAUCCUACCUCGGGCUCACCUCCCUCGAGCGAACAAUUGCACGUCAACGUGUGCGCUUAGCUUGGCUCCGCAGCGACGACACAACCGUGCCAGCACUCAAAAUCAUUGGCUCCACUAGUGCGUGUGACUUCACACUCGACCUAAAUCACCUAAGGGAUGACUCCUUCGACCUCGUAGAUCUUGAAGCCCCAUUCACUCAGGAGGAGAUCUGGAGAGCCAUAAUACCCGGACGAGUGAGAAGAUGUUUCCCCCUUCUCCCCCUCUCUCCUUCUCCCCCCGCUCCCCGCUCCCCUCCUCCUCAGAUCUCGUCUCCGGUCAUGGGCUCCCCCUAUCCCCUGCUCCCCUCCCCUCCUCUCCGGCGACUCCCUCAUCGCCUGGUGCUCGGGGAGACUCCCAUGUUCCCUUGCCCGCUGCGGUUCCCUCUCUCCUCUUGCCGGGGUUGCCAUCCUUUUCUGGAUCCCGCUUCUGGGCGCUGGGGGAUGCGAAGGAUUCGACUUCCGAUUUGGAAGGGCCUGCCUUGCAUGUUGGGUCGGCGGUGGUGGUGGCCAUGCCUGUGCAGGGCCUUGGUCGGAAAUUCGCCCCUGGGGGCAGAGGUCGGCCGGUGGUGGAGCCGUCUGGUUCGUCUAGAUGGCUGUGUGGUGGGCGGCGUCGGCGCAAGUCGGGGAGGUGCCCAGCUCCGUUCCCUGACAGCGGCCUCCUUGUCUGGCCUGUCCUCUCCUCGCCGGCUGGAGCCGGUGCCGGAGGCGGCGGGCGCUCCGGUGGACUCGGUGCUAGGGGCUAACACUAGAUCGGCCGUGGUCCGUGAUGGGGUUGGGGCCCCUGGGUUUGGCGGGCCUAGAGGUUCCUGGGCCGGCUCGGUCUGGGCCUUCUGCGCCUCCGGCCUUGUCUUCGCUGGCUGCUUUUCCCCCAUCCAUCCCGAGGCCCCGGGGCAGUUGAUUGUGGCCACUGCCCCUCUCGCUCCCCUCCCGUGGCCCUUUGUCCUGGCCUGGCCUAGUUCGGCCUGGCUAGUCUUGGCUAUUUAUGGAGCAUGUCUCCCCAUCCGCUGCUUCUUCAGAUUGACUGAUCCUCUUCCUCCUCCUCUCCUCCUCUCCUUUGCGGAAGCGCUCGCCAUGGACAAGUCCAGGGGCUCUUCCACCGAGGCCCUCUUGGGUAGCAAGUGUGGCCGUGAAGAUUCGUCGGGUUUUGGGUUGGAUCUGGCGUACAAGGCUGAGCUGCGGUUGAAGUUGGUGGUGGGGGUGUGGCGCGCGAGGCAUCGCAUGAACGUGAGGCCUAGGUGGCUGGCUCCGAGCGGCUCCAGCACGACGAGCAGGAGUGCGGCGGGCCUAGAUCCAUGGGAGGCCGCAGCUGCUUCGGCUGGUGGCGGCUCCUCCUCUUCGGUCCCGCAUCCGGUUCUGUCCAGGGGUCCGGUGCCGCUGCCGCGUCCGCCUCCUUGCUCUUUCGUAGCUGGUGCUGCUUCCCGCCCCGACCACCGCUUCGGGCCUGGCCCUUCUUCUGCGCCAGUCAGAGAUCAUCGUGCCGCUCCUCCUGGUGCCUCGUCUGCUAGGCUCGGUGAUGGUCUCCUGCCCCCAUCUCCACCGCCCCCCCUCGCCACCAUCCUGCUGCUUCAUCCCCUUCUCCGUCCCUGUCUUGCUUCGCCUUUUGGGACUGGUCUGCCCGGCUGUGGCUUCUUUGCCCUUGAUUCUGAUGCUCCUGUGGUUGUCGCUGCCCCCUCGCUAUCAAAUGCGGCUGUCAUUUUUGUCUGGGACCAAAAGAUUUCUCCGCAGACCCUCUUGGAUGGCCUGAAGAUUUGGGAUGAGGGGGGAUGGGAUUGGCAGGUGCACCAGCUCUCAGAAUUUGAGUUUGCGGUGGUCUUCCCCUCCAAGGAAUGCUUAAGGAUGAUUUCUUUGUGUACAAGCUUCACUUUACCUCUAAACCAGCUGGUUGUUUCGGUUAAGGCUGCUACUUGUGGUGCAAAGGUGGUUGACCCUCUGUCUAAAGUUUGGGUUCUAGUGGAUGAUGUGCCAGUGGGGCCGCAUUCUGCUGGAUUCAUGAUGGUGUUUGGGAAUAUCAUUGGUAAGCCCGUGGAGGUUGAUUCAGAGUCUUUGGGCAAGGUUGGCCCGGUUCGCCUUAGCAUCUGGUGCAUUGAUCCGAUCUGUGUUCAUGGCGCGGUGGAUGUUUUCCCUUCCCCUGAGGGUGUGCGCUUGCAGGUUCGUAUUAAAGGCGCUGAUACUUUCCAGACCCCUCCUCCGCCUCCCCCUUCCAAGUCAGUUGAUCAUGAGGAUAAGCAAGGAGAUGGCUCGGCUGGUGGGCAAAACCCGAGUGGUGGCUCUGACCCUCGGUUUACUCAGUCUGAAUGGGAUGGAAUGGAGCCUGCGAUGCAGGAGAUUUUCAAGGAGAAUGCCCCGGCUCCUAAUGCCCAGAAGGAUGAUGUGCCACCUCUUGGGAAAUCUGUGAGCAAAGGAACUCCCGUCUCUGGUGCCUGCUCCAACCUUCCUGCUCGUUCGCAAUCACCCUCCUUCUCUGGGAUUGAAGAUCUACCUGCUUCCCCUACUCGUUCCGUUGGGCCUGUAUCAAAGAAGAAGAAGAAGUCCUUGGACUUGGGUGCUGCGUCUGGGUCUGGUUUGGGUGCGGCCUCGCCUGUGGUGAGCUCGCCGGUGCUGCGCUCGCCUGCGUCCACGGCAUGCAAGGGGCGCCGCGUGCGUGACUCUGGCGAGUCAGUGGCUGCGAGGGCCGAGAGGCGCGCUGCGGCUAGGGAUCUUCCUCCUUCAGGUACGUCUGUCCUCGCUCCUCCCCUUGCUUCUCCAGUUCGGCUUGUUUUACCUGCCUCCUCGGAUGAUCACCUGUCUCAUGUUUUGGAAGAUGUUGGUGUGUCUAUCAUUUCGGGGUUGGGUUCCCCCUCGCGUCUGAUAUUUGUUAUUAGGGCUAAUGAAAUAGCCCAGACGGCUAUUGCCAAGGCCAGGGAGGCCGCGGCCUCCGCGUUUCCCGCUGCAGCCCAAGUGAUGUCGGGUUUUGACGCUAGGGGGCGUCGGGACCAGAUUCAUGACUUGGUAUGUGGUGAACACAUUGACAUAAUUGGGUUUGUUGAAACGUUUAAGGAAUCCUUCUCCCCCUCUGAGUUGUCUGCGGUUGCAGACAUGGAUAGAUUUGAUUGGAAUUUUCUCCCUUCCUCGGGCCACUCUGGGGGUAUCUUGAUUGGAUCUAAGCGGGAUGUGUUUGAUUUCAUUACUUUUGAUCAUGGCAUCUUUUGGGCUAGCGUGGUAGUUCAUCAUCGUCAGCUAAAUAAGUUAUGGGAAUUUCUAGUGGUUUAUGGCCCCGUUGAUCAUUCUCUUGCGUCUAUGUUUCUUGAUGAGCUCUCUAAUAAGGUCGAAUCCUGCAAUAUCCCGCUACUGAUCGGUGGGGACUUCAAUCUCUUGCGCACCUCGGUGACUCGGUAUUCCUUGGAAGAUGCCCUGAUGCUGUUGCAUCAGCAUUCAGAGAUCUAUUGGCGCCAGCGUGGCUCCCUUAACUGGACCUUAAAGGGUGACGCUAUCACGGCUUAUUAUUUUGUGAUCGCCAAUGGUAGGUGCCGGAGAUGUUUCAUUGAUAGUCUUAUCAUUGACGGUGUCAGGACUUCAGACCAAUCUCUAAUCUUGAACCACAUUGUAUCUUUCUUUUCCAAUCUUCUCGGUCCCAAACCGGAUUCUGCCAUUUCUUUCUCUUCUGAUUUUUGGGAAGGGGGUAUGGUGUGGAGAUUCACCGCUCUCGGUGACCUUCCCCACCUUGUUUUCCUAUUGUCCGGACCUGUUUCUAUUGCUAAGUUGGCGUCCCAUGGUUGGAACCUGGCCUUCCGCCGAUCCUUGUCGCCUGUAGAGUUUGAAGAUUGGCAAUGCCUUACUGCCUCCUUCCCCUCGCUCUUGACGAAUAUGGAUUCGCUUUUCUCCGGCCUGCGCGCCGUGUUCUGGCUAGGGAGCCAUAUAAGAUUAGAAGGAGCGGGGUCCAAGUAUCUGGUUGUGAGCUGUCGCUUCAAGCUGUGCAUGCAGUCGGGGCCGAAUGUCGUAGGAGGUGACGGCGGGCGAUUUCGACUUGUGUCUAGUAGAGAUCGCAUUGCCAAGUUUAAUCCGGGCCUGGGUGGUGCAAACAAAUCGCUCCGGCGCAGCCAAGAUGAGAGCAGCAAGAUCAAGACUCUACGCAAGGCCACUAUAAAUAUCCAAACCUCCUCAUGA